AAAAAGCUCGUAGUUGGAUUUCUGUUGAGGACGGCCGGUCCGCACUAUGUGCGUGUAUCUGGUUCGGCCUUGGCAUCCUCUUGAAGGAACGUGCCUGCGCUUGAUUGCGUGGGGCGGUAUUCAAGACUUUUACUUUGAGGAAAUUAGAGUGUUCACGGCAGGCAAGCGCCUUGAAUACAUUACCAUGGAAUAAUAAUAUAGGAUCUUGGUUCUAUUUGUUGGUUUCUAAGGCUAAGGUAAUGAUUAAUAGGGAUAAUUGGGGGCAUUUGUAUUAACGCGUCAGAGGUGGAAUUCUUGGAUUGCGUAACGACAAACUACUGCGAAAGCAUUUGCCAAGGAUGUUUUCAUUGAUCAAGAACGAAAGUAUGGGGAUCGAAGAUGAUUAGAUACCGUCGUAGUCUAUACCAUAAACUAUGCCGACUAGGGAUUGGAGGUCGUUCUUUUUAUGACUCCUUCAGCACCUUAUGAGAAAUCAAAGUCUUUGGGUUCCGGGGGGAGUAUAGUCGCAAGGCUGAAACUUAAAGGAAUUGACGGAAGGGCACCACCAAGAGUGGAGCCUGCGGC
rnacentral:rRNA from 1 species